rnacentral:rRNA from 1 species
AGUGGGUGUAACGUACCUACUAGCCUACGACGGGUACGGGUUGUGAGAGCAAGAGCCCGGAGAUGGAUUCUGAGACACGAAUCCAGGCCCUACGGGGUGCAGCAGGCGCGAAAACUUUACAAUGCGGGAAACCGUGAUAAGGGAAUCUCGAGCGCCAGCAUAUAAUGUUGGCUGUCCAGAUGCCUAAAAAGCAUCUGUUAGCAAGGGCCGGGCAAGACCGGUGCCAGCCGCCGCGGUAACACCGGCGGCCCGAGUGGUAACCGUUUUUAUUGGGUCUAAAGGGUCUGUAGCCGGCCAUGUAAGUCCCUUGGGAAAUCUGGCAGCUCAACUGUCAGGCUGCUAGGGGAUACUGCUUGGCUUGGGACCGGGAGAGGUGAGAGGUACCUUGAGGGUAGGGGUGAAAUCUUGUGAUCCUCGGGGGACCACCAGUGGCGAAGGCGUCUCACCAGAACGGGUCCGACGGUAAGGGACGAAAGCUAGGGGCACGAACCGGAUUAGAU